rnacentral:rRNA from 1 species
UGUAGUCAUAUGCUUGUCUCAAAGAUUAAGCCAUGCAUGUCUAAGUAUAAGCAAUUAUACCGCGAAACUGCGAAUGGCUCAUUAAAUCAGUUAUCGUUUAUUUGAUAGUACCUUACUACAUGGAUAACCGUGGUAAUUCUAGAGCUAAUACAUGCUAAAAAUCCCGACUUCGGAAGGGAUGUAUUUAUUAGAUUAAAAACCAAUGCCCUUCGGGGCUCUCUGGUGAUUCAUAAUAACUUCUCGAAUCGCACGGCCUUGCGCCGGCGAUGGUUCAUUCAAAUUUCUGCCCUAUCAACUUUCGACGGCUGGGUCUUGGCCAGCCAUGGUGACAACGGGUAACGGAGGGUUAGGGCUCGACCCCGGAGAAGGAGCCUGAGAAACGGCUACUACAUCCAAGGAAGGCAGCAGGCGCGCAAAUUACCCAAUCCCGACUCGGGGAGGUAGUGACAAUAAAUACUGAUACAGAGCUCUUUUGGGUCUUGUAAUUGGAAUGAGUACAAUUUAAAUCCCUUAACGAGGAACAAUUGGAGGGCAAGUCUGGUAAUCG